AGAGGUUGAUCGGCCCCCUUGGGGCUGAGACCCGGCCCAAACUCCUUCGGGAGGCACCAGUAGGGAAUCUUCCCCAAUGGCCGCAAGUCUGAUGGAGCAACCCCGCGUGAGUGAAGAAGGCUUUCGGGUCGUAAAACUCUGUUGUUGGAGAAGAAUGGUCGGCAGAGUAACUGUUGUCGGCGUGACGGUAUCCAACCAGAAAGCCACGGCUAACUACGUGCCAGCAGCCGCGGUAAUACGUAGGUGGCAAGCGUUAUCCGGAUUUAUUGGGCGUAAAGCGAGCGCAGGCGGUUUUUUAAGUCUGAUGUGAAAGCCCUCGGCUUAACCGAGGAAGCGCAUCGGAAACUGGGAAACUUGAGUGCAGAAGAGGACAGUGGAACUCCAUGUGUAGCGGUGAAAUGCGUAGAUAUAUGGAAGAACACCAGUGGCGAAGGCGGCUGUCUGGUCUGUAACUGACGCUGAGGCUCGAAAGCAUGGGUAGCGAACAGGAUUAGAUACCCUGGUAGUCCAUGCCGUAAACGAUGAAUGCUAGGUGUUGGAGGGUUUCCGCCCUUCAGUGCCGCAGCUAACGCAUUAAGCAUUCCGCCUGGGGAGUACGACCGCAAGGUUGAAACUCAAAGGAAUUGACGGGGGCCCGCACAAGCGGUGGAGCAUGUGGUUUAAUUCGAAGCAACGCGAAGAACCUUACCAGGUCUUGACAUCUUUUGAUCACCUGAGAGAUCAGGUUUCCCCUUCGGGGGCAAAAUGACAGGUGGUGCAUGGUUGUCGUCAGCUCGUGUCGUGAGAUGUUGGGUUAAGUCCCGCAACGAGCGCAACCCUUAUGACUAGUUGCCAGCAUUUAGUUGGGCACUCUAGUAAGACUGCCGGUGACAAACCGGAGGAAGGUGGGGAUGACGUCAAAUCAUCAUGCCCCUUAUGACCUGGGCUACACACGUGCUACAAUGGAUGGUACAACGAGUUGCGAGACCGCGAGGUCAAGCUAAUCUCUUAAAGCCAUUCUCAGUUCGGACUGUAGGCUGCAACUCGCCUACACGAAGUCGGAAUCGCUAGUAAUCGCGGAUCAGCACGCCGCGGUGAAUACGUUCCCGGGCCUUGUACACACCGCCCGUCACACCAUGAGAGUUUGUAACACCCGAAGCCGGUGGCGUAACCCUUUAGGAGCAGCCCCGUCUAAGGAGAACCGA
rnacentral:rRNA from 1 species